rnacentral:rRNA from 1 species
UACGUAGGGUGCGAGCGUUGUCCGGAUUUAUUGGGCGUAAAGAGCUCGUAGGCGGUUUGUCGCGUCGUUCGUGAAAACUCAACGCUUAACGUUGAGCCUGCGGUCGAUACGGGCAGACUGGAGUUCGGCAGGGGAGACUGGAAUUCCUGGUGUAGCGGUGAAAUGCGCAGAUAUCAGGAGGAACACCGGUGGCGAAGGCGGGUCUCUGGGCCGAUACUGACGCUGAGGAGCGAAAGCGUGGGGAGCGAACAGG